ACACACUACCUCAUCUAUGGGGAAGGGUUUCAGACUUGGGAAUAUUCCCCAGCAUAUGCCAUUCGCUCCUAUGCUUACCUGUUGCUUCAUGCCUGGCCAGCUGCAUUUCAUGCAAGAAUUCUACAAACUAAUAAGAUUCUUGUGUUUUACUUUUUGCGAUGUCUUCUGGCUUUUGUGAGCUGUAUUUGUGAACUUUACUUUUACAAGGCUGUGUGCAAGAAGUUUGGGUUGCACGUGAGUCGAAUGAUGCUAGCCUUCUUGGUUCUCAGCACUGGCAUGUUUUGCUCAUCAUCAGCAUUCCUUCCUAGUAGCUUCUGUAUGUACACUACGUUGAUAGCCAUGACUGGAUGGUAUAUGGACAAGACUUCCAUUGCUGUGCUGGGAGUAGCAGCUGGGGCUAUCUUAGGCUGGCCAUUCAGUGCAGCUCUUGGGUGCCUGUGGUGGUCAUUGACAGCUACUAUUAUGGGAAGUUGGUGAUUGCACCACUCAACAUUGUUUUGUAUAAUGUCUUUACUCCUCAUGGACCUGAUCUUUAUGAUUGAUAUCAGUAAAUGCCAUUAUUUAGUGGAUUUGGACACCAUGAGAGAAACACCCCGGGAGCCAAAAUAUUCAUCCAAUAAAGAAGAAUGGAUCAGCUUGGCCUAUAGACCAUUCCUUGAUGCUUCUAGGUAUGUGGCUUUAAUCCUAUGGGA
rnacentral:lncRNA from 1 species